AGGUAAUAGAUACCCUGGUAGUCCACGCUGUAAACGAUCAAUACUAGGUGUGCGGGGACUGACCCCCUGCGUGCCGGAGUUAAACACAAUAAGUAUUGCACCUGGGGAGGUACGAUCGCAAGGUUGAAACUCAAAGGAAUCGACGGGGGCCCGGCACAAGCGGUGGAUUAUGUGGUUUAAAUUCGAAGCAACGCGAAGAACCUUACCAGGGCUUGACAUCCUACUAAUGAAGCAGAGAUGCAUUAAGUGCCCUUCGGGGAAAGGUAGAGACAGGUGGUGCAUGGUUGUCGUCAGCUCGUGUCGUGAGAUGUUGGGUUAAGUCCCGCAACGAGCGCAACCCCUAUUGUUAGUUGCUACGCAAGAGCACUCUAGCGAGACUGCCGUUGACAAAACGGAGGAAGGUGGGGACGACGUCAAAUCAUCAUGCCCCUUAUGUCCUGGGCCACACACGUAAUACAAUGGCGUUAAACAGAGGGAUGCUAAGCCGUGAGGUGGAGCGAACCCCU
rnacentral:rRNA from 1 species